rnacentral:tRNA from 1 species
CCGGCCGCCACCGGGGGUACGUCGCCGCCUCCGGCCCGGGCCCGGUGACAGACACUCCCCGGGGCGCGGCCGCUCCGACCGGCCCGGCCGGA